rnacentral:rRNA from 1 species
GAUGAACGCUAGCGGGAGGCCUAACACAUGCAAGCCGAGCGGUAGAGAUUCUUCGGAAUCUUGAGAGCGGCGUACGGGUGCGGAACACGUGUGCAACCUGCCUUUAUCAGGGGGAUAGCCUUUCGAAAGGAAGAUUAAUACCCCAUAAUAUAUUUGAUGGCAUCAUUAGAUAUUGAAAGCUUUGGCGGAUAGAGAUGGGCACGCGCAAGAUUAGAUAGUUGGUGAGGUAACGGCUCACCAAGUCGAUGAUCUUUAGGGGGCCUGAGAGGGUGAUCCCCCACACUGGUACUGAGACACGGACCAGACUCCUACGGGAGGCAGCAGUGAGGAAUAUUGGACAAUGGGUUAGCGCCUGAUCCAGCCAUCCCGCGUGAAGGACGACGGCCCUAUGGGUUGUAAACUUCUUUUGUACAGGGAUAAACCUACUCUCGUGAGAGUAGCUGAAGGUACUGUACGAAUAAGCACCGGCUAACUCCGU